GGUCGUAUAGUGUAGCGGUUAUCACAUCGGAUUCUGAUUCCGAUAACCCUGGUUCGAAUCCUGGUAUGACCU
rnacentral:tRNA from 15 species